GUCCUGGCAGUAAACGGUGCACGCUUGGUGUGGCAGGAAUCGACCCCUGCCGUGCCGGAGCUAACGCGUUAAGCGUGCCGCCUGGGAAGUACGGUCGCAAGAUUAAAACUCAAAGAAAUUGACGGGGACCCCGCACAAGCGGUGGAGUAUGUGGCUUAAUUCGAUGCAACGCGAAGAACCUUACCUGGGCUUGACAUGCAUUCUGUCAUCGGUGAAAGCCGGUUAGUGGAGCAAUCCACGGUUUGCACAGGUGUUGCAUGGCUGUCGU
rnacentral:rRNA from 1 species